rnacentral:rRNA from 1 species
CAGCAGCCGCGGGAAUACGUAGGGUGCGAGCGUUAAUCGGAAUUACUGGGCGUAAAGCGUGCGCAGGCGGUUCGUUAAGACAGAUGUGAAAUCCCCGGGCUUAACCUGGGAAUUGCAUUUGAUACUGUUUGGCUUGAGUUCGGGAGAGGUGAGUGGAAUUCCCAGUGUAGAGGUGAAAUUCGUAGAUAUUGGGAAGAACACCGGUGGCGAAGGCGGCGACCUGGUUCAUGACUGACGCUGAGGCGCGAAAGCGUGGGGAGCAGACAGGAUUAGAUACCCCUGUAGUCCCUGUCUCUUAUAC